GCUGCACCGAGCCGGAAGCCGCGGCACAACGGGAGCGAGUGCUGAGGACAGCUCCGCCGGAGCAGUAGAGUGUUUCAGAAGAAAGAAAAACACGGCAGGCAUGAACUGGCUGUGUGUGGUUGGUAAAACCGUGCUGAGGUCUGGGCUGACUGUUGCAGCUGAAAAUGCGUGCCCACUAUGCAGGCACAGAGGAAUAACUUUUCCCCACAGGUGGAACUUGUCGAAGGUGAUUUUUUUUAGCCGGGAGAGAUUGGAGGUGCUGUUUGGUGAUGGAAGACGUAGAGAGGAA